UUCAAAACAUUUAUUCACCACUAGGUAAUACAAUCUCUCAUAAAUAGAACUUUACAAAGACACAAAACAGAGGUAUAUGCUCAGUGACACAAUGAUACAAUUUCUUAACGUGGUGCUUAUCGAAAGAGACAAGAGUGCAAGUGGGCAGGAAGGAGGAAACAAACAACUGAAAUGCAGAAGAAGGUGUAGAAAGAGAGAUAUAGACAAAAACACAGAUCUCAGCACUAUAGUAUAAUCCAUUAUGUUCCUCUUUUAUACAAUAAUCUUAAAUUACACAAAAUUACAACUAAGACUACAGUAGAUAAAUUUCAAACUUUGGGAAUGCUUUAGUAUGUGUAUCAUUAAGGCCACUGGUUACGUGUGUGCUAUAUUUACAGAUAUAGUAUUUACAUACAAACUGUGUAUUGUGCCUUCACCUGCAAAUCUAGUCCAAGUCUUCAUAUUUGCUUUAUGCAACUAAGUCUGGCUGACAGAAAAACAUGAAGUGGAUUAUACAGCAGACUGGAUUGGCAAAAAGGCUUAGAUAUAAGUUCCAGUCUGCUGUUAUAUGAAAGCAGGAAACUAAAAAUAUAAAGCUAAAUUGAAAGGGGCCACUGCACUCAGUAAAUGGAGUAUCUCUUAUUGACAUUGUAACAUCCAAUGCAGUGCACUGAUAGCCAGUUCACUGUCCAUGCUACUGAGGACACAAACGCUCCUUUGAUGCAUGUUGGGCUUUUUACAUUAAUCAGCACAUCAGUGAAAUGAAGACAAGAGUACACUGUAUGAGGGGGCCAAAAAGUGAAGUAUUCAGCUCUAAAAUCACUGCAGGUUUUGUGGAAAUUCAAAUUUAAGGGUCACUUUAAGAUCAGUUGACUCUCUGUCAUUUCUAUAUCAUCAUGGCAUAGCAAAGUGAUAGUGUUAUAUUGUCGGUGGGCGUUUAAGGAGAACAUGAUAGCAUCAGUUGCAUGAUUAGGUUAAACAGAGUUUCCAGCUGAAUGGUUCUGCCUGUACACCGAUCAGCCACAACAUUAAAACCACCUGCCUAAUAUUGUGUAGGUGGUUUUAAUGUUGUGUAUGUUUGAUGCUUUGUUUAAAAGUCAUCAGAUGAGUACUGUGUGAACACUACAUUGUAGCCUAAAAAACUACAAUGUAAGCUUCUACUAGUUAGAUGUAAUGACUGCAGAGUGGAACAGCAGUGUUGGGCAGUAAUGGACUACAUGUAAUAUAGAUUACAUAAACAGAUUACAAAAAAUUCAGUACUUGUAUUUAGAUUAUGUUACAAUUUACAUUUGCAUAAUUAGAUUACAGUUUUUUUUUGUGCAUCUUUUUAAAAUGGAUUAUAUGAUUACAAAUUGAUUGCAUUUACCUAUUAGUCUUGACUUUUAAAGAAUUGUCAGAUCAAAUCGUUGUUUGAUUUCAUGUUUACUAAUAUUUAAUGAAAGGAGUGUAAAUUGGUCCAGCAUACACUUUGAUUUUCAUCAAUACAUGCAAUAAUUCAUCAAUAAAUUCCUUAGGACUACCUAAAAAGUGUCAUCUAAAAGAUUGCAUUACUAAUUUGUUUGGUGCAAUUUGUAAUCUGAUUACAUUUCAGAAGUAAUCUACCCAACACUGAAAAAAUACCAUUCUGAAUUGCAGAACAAAAAUACAAGCAAAAGUAAAACAAAAACUUGUCCUUCCACACUUAAUCAACGUUUAAACAACUGAAUAAAGAAGAACAUUUGGUUCAUCCAGUAACCCGGCUGAAAAAAGCAUCUUAAAUGAGCCUGAACUGGUUUGCUGGUCUUACUGUAGCUGGUUUAAGAUAGAACCUCUUUAAAACCAGCAAACCAGACCAGGCUUGGAGACUUGCAAACCAUCUUAGGCUGGUUUAAGCAGGGAAACCAGUAAAGUUUAUCCUUUUUGCCUUCACUGCUAAUCCUUUCACAAGCUGAAUCAAUGUGAGUGAUCAAAUAAAAAAAGUGUAAUGCAUAUACAGGAAUAUAUAAUAAUUUUAUGGGAUACAAUAAUGGUGCAGUUCAAGUGAUCUGCUAAGUCUUUUCAUUGUGUGUGUGUGUUUGUAUAAGAGUUUGUAUGGGAGAGCAGAGGCAACAGAAGCAGAAUGACUCUGCAAGUGCUGAAGCGAUCAAAGUGAGAAUAAUAAUCUCCAGCUGCAUUCACUCUCUCUGGAUGAAUAAUCUGGGUCAAUCUGUGAGAGAGGGAACAGUGCAAAUCUAGGGGAGGGAGAGAUUAUGGAGGCUUGUAUAGGUGGAUUAUCUCACACUUGCAUUUGUCUGGCAUGUUUUCAAAUAUCUGCUGUCCAGCCAGUAUCCAUAGCCUACUUCAAAAUACAGCAACAUCACAUCUAUAGACUCAACUGGCAAGAUCUCUUCUGUUGUGCUCCCAGCUCUGUCACACCACACUGUGAGAGUGUGUGUGCAAGAAUAAGGGCAGUUCAGUGUGUGUGGAUGUCACUUGAGAUGUGUGGAACUGAGUGUGGGAAUAAGGAUUAGGGGAAAGAAUGCUGAGGUAACAGCAUGAUUAUAAGACUUUGCAUGUGUGUUUGUAAAGAUAAGGCAAGUGAGGUGUGUCAGUGGAUACAAAUGAAAUAUAUUUAAACAGGAACAGAUCAUAAUAAGCUUAUCUUGCACAUAUAAAGAAAAACAUUUUUUUUGCACAGUUAAUUCACUGUAAUGUCACAAGAAUGGCAAACAUUAACAGUUAAAAUGAUCAAAAGUUGGUUUGAAUAGAUACUGAAACUAAAAUAAGUAAAUAUAGAUAUACUGCAUUAAAAUGAAUAUUUAUGAGGUCUUUAAAGAGAUGAGGUGGAAACAUAUACAGUGAGGAUUGUGUGUGAGAGCCAGACACUGCAAAGAUGGUUGUCUGUGACUUUUGAGUAUAUUCAUGUGAUCCAUUUAAAACGACAAAGGAGACAUAAUAAGGAGGGGAUACAUUUAAGUAGAUCCACAUGACCCAUGCUUUUAGCGUUAGUAGUUCACUUAAAAGAAACUGGAGUCUGUCUAUUAAAUAAGUAAGUGUGUUACAAUCAGUGAUUGUCAAUAUUUCCUAAAUGUCUGCAACAGCUAUAGAAAUAUCAUAAAAGACAUCAGGCUAGUUCAGAAAAAGGCCUGCCAUUAACUACAUUCCCAUUAAUCUUCAUGCAGUCACACUGUGUCUUAUGCGACAGCAUUGCAUUACAUUAUUAAUGAAUGUACCAACUUUCUUAAAGGGACAGUGCACCCAAAAAUGAAAAUUCUCAUGUCAUUCCAAACCUGUAUAACUUUCUUUCUUCUGUGAAACACAAAAG